AGAGAAAGAUGAGGUAACCUUGCCCCUUAUGACCUCAUAAGGAGCAAGAUUCCAGAUCGUCCCAUCUGAGCAUAUUCAUUUUCUCAAAGGCAGAACAGGAUACCCAGGGCUCGGUUUACAUCUAUCAUCAUUUCUAGCCACUGGGGGACCAUAAGCAGGCUGGGGGAACUUAUAUUAAUGUUGAAAAACCUCAUAAAGUGACAUUUUCAUGCCAUGGGACCUUUAAUCAGCCCUUUCUCCUAAAGCCGUGUGGGAUAACCCCAUGCAGAAUAAAUACCUUGCAUCUUUAAAUAGAACAUGUAGCUUAGAUUAUGCUCUGGAUACCGAAUCCGCCUGCAUUUGAUUAAAUCUCAAUAAUUUAUCAAAUCUGCAUUACAAACCUGAAUCCUUUUGACUCAGUUAUACUUUAAUAUUUAAAAAAAAGACAGAUGUAAAAAAAGAAAACAUGGUUUUAUCAUUAUUCAUUAUACUCUAAGCUUAACUAAUUUGGGUUCUGUACUGAAUAUUAACUUAAAAUAAACUGGCUAUCAGAGCCCAGCCCUGUUAGUCAGAUUAUACAACACACCAACCAAUAGCCUAGUUGUAGUUAAAUUCAGUUGUCCGUUUUGGUAAUGAAAACACCAGGAUAACAAGGUAUGUUUUUCCUAAAAGUCCGACUAAACAGUCCCAGUGUGCAGGCAUGGACUUCCUGUUUGUAACAUCCCUCCAACUUGUGUUUGGCACCUGGGCAACUACCUUCUCUCACCUUUGUUUCAUGUACCACCUGACCGUGUUUUAUGUAUUUUUUUUAGUGAACAGGAAACCAAGUGCUGUGGUGUUUACCGUUGUUUACUGUACAUAGGACAUGGAUCUCCUGAGUAUUCCUGCCACACACAUUUGUCAAUGACUACUCUACUCUUGUCUAUUCUAUUUCCUCUCAUCUGUUUUUUUUUCUGGUUUUAUUGCCCUGUCAGUGGAAUCCAGUGACUUCUUUUUGUUUUUAUUUUUUUGUUCACUUCCCCCUCUCUGUCUCUGUUAAACUGUAAAGCUGACAUUCUUCACAACAGGUGAGGGUUCAGAUUGUCUCUUUAGUGGACAUAACAUUACUUAUUUUGUGUUUUUUGUGGGAGUGUUGGGAUGCAAAUGUUUCUACUUUGUAUAAUGAUGGACAAUUGUGUAUUUACUGUCUGUUCAUAGUAGAUUUAUAUAUGAAAAGAAAUAAGUAUAUUAUAUAUAUAUAUAUCUAUACAUAAUGAAAUACCAUGAUCCUGUUUUUGAAGUUGGAACUGCAAAAUGCUACAUUUCAUGGGCCUUAAACUCAAUCUGCCCUUUUUAGGGUGUUACUGAAGGCACCAUUUACUGUCAUUAGUUACAGUUGGUUACAUGUUGAGUAGCAUUUAAUUGGUUGUCUUUUUGUCUUUCAACACUGAUGGCUAGUUUUUGGCUUUAUCCAUCCCAUUGGUACCAUUACACUGAUACACUAGGUGUGCCAUUGCCCUCCGCUCAGUCUCGCAUUCUCAUGCACGUAUUCCUACUAUUCCACUUUUUUAUGUGUGUGUAUAUAUCUUAUUGUAGAAAAACACAAAUUUUAGCUGGCACCUAUAAAGUUUCAGCAUGCAACGUAAGACUCAAAUUUAAAAUCUGGAUUCUGCGCAUCUCAAAAACAAUCUGUAGUGGUUCUCUUUCUUAAAGGUUUACAAGUUCAUCCUCUAACAAUAAGACCACAAAAAAUGGGAUGAGUGGAUUUGAAUUAGAGCAUGGCCAAGCUAUUCCCCUUCGUCAAAUAACUCUGGUGGCCUUACAAAUGUUUUCACAUGAUCAUCACUUAAUUCCUUAUAUGACCAAAUGUCCUAACUUUUUAUUGAACUUCACAUUUCAUUUAGAUACAUCUAGCUAACUAGCUAGCUACAUGUGUAUUCUGGUUCAUCAGCUAAGUGAUGCCUCUGGGUUAAAGACUGUCCUGAUCCAACAGAUCACAGGUGUUGGAUCCCCGCAGCAGCCCACGUCUUCCUGUCCUCACAGAACACAAAAACUUUGCCCAUACUAGGACCAGUGUUUUUCACAAUAUCUACUGUAUGUCUCACAUGAACAUAUAGAAAAAAAAGAAAUAUGAUAAUGAUGCCAUAUGCUGAAAUUGUCUUAAAUCUCAAUCAGACUUGCGAGAACUAAAUUUGCUCAUUUUGACUUAAUGUAUCGGACCUCUACUUGCUUGCAGUCAUGUUGCAUCUAAUGUCUCUAAAAUGUCUCCUCUGCAUUCGUUUCCAUUGCUUCUGCAGAUGGCCACAGAGGUCAAUGUUAACGCUAUAUAAUGCUAGUGUCAUCUACAGUACCACUUUGUAAAUGUACAAGAACAAAGGAAAAGUAUGAAUUAGUGCUUGCAGUAAAUUGUAGGCCAUAAAUUAGGAUUUACACUGAGUACCCAAGAGAUAACCAAGGUCUAGGCAUUUGUAGAUGGGCGUUACUGGGCAUCACAUUUUGUUAUUUUGUGUGUAUGAUUUAAAUGCAUAGCCAUGUGAAAGAUGUGUGAUUUUUCAAUACAUUCCUUUUAUAUCAGACACCUACACAAGUACCACUUUCUCCUGUGUUUAUUUUGUAAUUUCUAGGACUUCUUAAUUCACAUUAUUGUGAAACUUCACGCAUUAAGAUGUAGUUGUGGUUUGAAAAAUCCAAAUAG